GAGGGUGAGAAUCCCGUGCUUGGCUGGCUGUCCCCGUCCAUGUGAGGUGUCUUCGACGAGUCGAGUUGUUUGGGAAUGCAGCUCAAAAUGGGUGGUAAAUUUCAUCUAAAGCUAAAUAUUGGUGGGAGACCGAUAGCGCACAAGUAGAGUGAUCGAAAGAUGAAAAGCACUUUGAAAAUAGAGUUAAAAAGUACGUGAAAUUGUUGAAAGGGAAGCGCUUGAGACCAGACUUCGGUGGGGGGUGAUCAGCUGUCCUUCUGGGCGGUGCACUUGCUCCCCUCCGGGCCAGCAUCGGUUGGGGCGGCGGGAUAAAGAUCCCGGGAAUGUGGCUCCUUUCGGGGAGUGUUAUAGCCCGGGUGAAUGCCGCCAGCUCCGACCGAGGACCGCGCCUUCGGGCUAGGAUGCUUGGCAUAAUGGUCUUCAGCGACCCGUCUUGAAACACGGACCAAGGAGUCUAACAUCUAUGCGAGUGUUUGGGUGUCAAACCCUUACGCGAAAUGAAAGUGAACGGAGGUGGGAACCCGCAAGGGCGCACCAUCGACCGGUCCUGAAGUCUUCUGAAGGAUCUGAGUAGGAGCAUAGCUGUUGGGACCCGAAAGAUGGUGAACUAUGCCUGAAUAGGGUGAAGCCAGAGGAAACUCUGGUGGAGGCUCGCAGCGGUUCUGACGUGCAAAUCGAUCGUCAAAUU
rnacentral:rRNA from 1 species